ACGACUACAUAUCAGGCAUAUCAAUAAGCGGAGGAAAAGAAACUAACAAGGAUUCCCUUAGUAACGGCGAGUGAAGCGGGAGAGCUCAAAUUUGAAAUCUUCAAGGUUCUACCUUGACGAAUUGUAGUUUAAAGAAGUGUUUUCUGUUAGAUGAGUAGCAAAAGUUCCUUGGAAUGGGACAUCAUAGAGGGUGAGAAUCCCGUAUUUGGUUAUUCAUUCUAGCUUUGUGAUACACUUUCAAAGAGUCGGAUUGUUUGGGAAUGCAGUCCAAAAUGGGUGGUAAAUUUCAUCUAAAGCUAAAUAUUGGCGAGAGACCGAUAGCGAACAAGUACCGUGAGGGAAAGAUGAAAAGAACUUUGAAAAGAGAGUUAAACAGUACGUGAAAUUGUCAAAAGGGAAGCGUUUGACACCAGUGUUGUUUUUCCGAAAAAUCAAUUACGAAUGGCUUGAUUUUGUGUUGUAUUGACCUUAUCAGCUUUCUGCACUUUUUUCGAGUCUUUCUUAAUGCACUUUUCGGUUAACAAGUCAACAUCAAUUUCUUUUGUUGUAAAAGAGUAUUCGGAAGGUGGCUUUCUUUUCGGAGAAAGUGUUUAUAGCCCUAUACUUCUACAAUCGGAGAGAUUGAGGUCUGCAGCGUAGAUCCUUCGGGGUUAGAUAGCACUUGUGCUAAGUUAUAGCUUUGUCAUAGACAACUUGUUGACUAUAGUUAGUCAUGUCGCUUACUCGCUUAUGUCUAUUUUACCUACGCUUAGGAUGUUGAGUAGCGACAUACGCAC
rnacentral:rRNA from 1 species